rnacentral:lncRNA from 1 species
AUUGCUUUCUUUUGCACAGUUUUAGCUUUAUUAUUUCUUAUAUUAUGCUAUUUAUUCUUUAUUUUUGCUCAACUUCUUAGUUUCUGGCAUUCUGUUCUUUCACUUUAUCUCAUUGGUUUAAUUUCAUAAUUCAAAUUAUUUCCUGGUUAUUUUAACGUUCAUUUUAAGAAAUUGUUAUUGCUUUUAAUUUAAAAAAUGGUCUUUAUAUGGUAUAUGAAAAACAAUUCAAUAUGGAUAGCCCCAAGGACAAAGAGUCUGUACCAUGGAAAGGUGGCCUUGCAGUUUUCUAUCAAACUUCCCAGGAGCAGAAAUUUGCAACCUCCUCUUUGCCGCAACACACCAAAAGGAGCAGAAUCAUUGACUCUUAGUAGUUCUCAGCUGUGAUGCAACAAAGCAUUUCAAAACCUCUAGCUGAAUGCUAAGACAAAGGCUUCUCAUUGUGUGAAAGCUGAAGGAUCUCUCCCUGCAUUCCCUUCAUGGGCAUCUCUAGGCUACUUGGCCUCAUGGAUGCUUCAGGCUCUCCAGUGGCUUCAGAGAUCCCUAGUUUCCAGCAUUCCCCCUCCUGCUGCAUGUCUCAGUCUAACUGGUCAUUGAUAGUGGCAGGAGACAGACAAAUUCCUAGGCCGACAGGGUUGGGUUCCUGGUGAAACCCAGCCUUCAAAUCAAAGACAAUUUAAAGCCUGAAAACCGACCUGCUGAUUCCAGAUAGAGUCUACAACCAGAGACACGGCUUUACCUCCUUCUCCAGAGGAUGCAACAAUAAGGCACCAUCUUGGAAGCAGAAAGCAGCCCUCACCAGACACCAAAUCUGCCAGCACCUUGAUCUUGGAUUUCCCAGACUCCAGAACUAUGUGGUCUUUCAUUUCCUCGGCAGAAUACUCCUGGCAUGAUCUUUAAGGAAUGAAAUGUUGUCUACCAACCUCGGCUGAGUGUACACAGUUCUGGGAAAAGGUGCAUCUUAGACUAAUCUGAUUUAGUAAGUGAAUAUAAAAUGCUCCCCAGGACACCUUGCUAGUAAAGACUCCAACUAAGAUUAGAGUAUGAAUUAAUAGAGCCAAGAAUGGACAUUGGAGUGGGAAUUUACCAACUAGCAAUUUACUUUAAUGAUUAUUUCCUGAUAACUUCUGAAAUAUUUUUAAUGUUUAGAGAAUUUGUUUAGCAACUGAAAGGAAAACUUUCUACUAAAAAAUAUGCCAUGCACAUUUAAAAACAUUCCAAUUGCUCCACUGUCUUUCAUAUCUAUCUCUGUUUGCUAAUAUCUAUAAUGCAAAUUUUAGAAAACACAUCUUGACUCAUCAAUUUAUGAAUUAUUUUACUCCCUAUCAUGAUAUUAGCAGUACAUUUUUUUUCCUUUCCCUUCUAGGCUUGUUUUUCUU